UAAACUUACUCCCUUUGGAUCAAUAGCAAGUGUUAUUUCUAAUGAGUUCCCUUCUGUUGGGAUUUCAUCAGAUCUGUUAACAUUUUCAAAAUGUUUUUAGGCAAGGGAAGGAGCAAGAUGGCGGAGGAGUUGGAAACCUACAUUUCAUCUGGUCCCAGGAGUUCAGAUAGACAGUUACCAAACCAUCCUUAACACCUACAAACUCAAUGGAAGAUUGAUGAGAAGAGGAGCAGCAAUUCCAUGAACAGAAAAGCGACCAUUUCUGGAAGAGGCACAAGCAGCAAAAGCAUUACUGCUGAAGAACACCAUCAUGUAGAUUUCAUGAAGGGGACCCCAGUAUUCACCUUUGAACAACAUUUGAAUUCCUUUGAAAGACUGAUAAAAGCACUGGUCAGGAUUCUUCAAAAAAUGCACAGCUGUAAUUUGUUUUUAGACAAUUUCAGACAGUUCAUGGACAGUCCACAUGUCCAUGUUUAGUGGACUGCGAGUCCAAAUCUCUGUGAACUUUAAGGCAACGGAGUCUUCUUCUGGUCAUCCGUGUGCCAGAUGGCCCGCAGGCAGCAUCUCCACCCCUGACUUCCCUCCUGAGCGUGACAUCGGCCGUCCAAGCGCAAAGCAAGCCUGUGUGUGCAGAGUCAGAAGGUGCUGCUGGCAGACACUUCUCAAGGCCAAGAUAACUUAGGUCUGAAUCUCAGCGAUAGUAGAAAGCAGACGCUUAAUGCUUAAUAAAUAUUUUAUGAAUGAGUGAGCAAAUAAAUUGAAGAACAAAGGCAGAGGAAUGACUGAAGAUGGAGAAACUGAGUCACUAACAGCAUGGAGACUUAAGGCAGAAAUGGAAACCAUUCGAAGUCUCCACGUUAAGUCCCGGCAGACUCCUAGAGCUCAGAGAGGGAACCGGGAGGGCUGGGAUGAGAACACAUUCAAUCUCAGGUCAUCCCAGGGCACCUGCUCUGCCUUGCCUUCAAGCCAGAGAGAAGAGCAGUCCUGGAGAAGGUGAUCGAGGCUUUACCAAAAUCUGCACCAUGAGAGUUUCAGAAGCUCUAAGGAGAAACAGCAGCGUGGAACCAGGGGACAGAAGUGCAGAUCCCAGCACUGUCGAGCCUAGCAGUGCGGCCGUGCGCGAAACUCCUGUUCUCCAUGAGGCUCGGCGGCUUCACUCGUAGCAUGGAAAGAGCAGCCUCAACCCCCAAGAAUGCUAGAGGCUCCAAAGUGGACAGCAGGUUUGGAGAUGCUCGCACUCUAAUGGACUGUUCUCCCCAAAGCACCAUGACAACUGCACUUCCCCACCCGCCUGCUUCAGCCUUCACGCCACGUCUCACCCGGUCCCAGAUACAGAGAAAUGAACUUACCAUCUC